UGAGGUUUAUCUCUGGGGACUCCAGAAGCUGCUUUUGUACCUCCAAGACCCGAUUAUAGCCGGCCUUUUGCUUGCGUUCCUUACCCUUAUGCUGAUCCAAGCUUCGUUGGCAUGCUGGCUGCAUAUGGGUCACAUGCAAUUGUAUGUAUUAUUGAGCAUGUUCUUCCUUUUAGUUGUCUAAUUUUUUUUAUAUUAGUUGCAGCUCAAUCAGUAUUUUAAUAGGAUGGACAAAAGUUGGAUAAAUAAGUCGAGAUCCAGUGCCGAACCAAGAAAAUUUGCAGUUUCAGCUUACGAAUAUUUCAUCUUUGUUACAACGAUUUCUCCCUUCUCAGAUUCCUGAUACUUCAAAUGCUCACAGAGAUGAUGAUGAUGGAGCUGAAUCCCGUCCCUGAUACUUUGUAGAUUGUUUUUUUAUGGAGUUUGAUAUGUAUAUAUUUUUUAUAUUUUCAAAGUACAUUGUAAUUCAUAACUUUUUAUGU